rnacentral:rRNA from 1 species
GACGAACGCUGGCGGCGUGCUUAACACAUGCAAGUCGAACGGAAAGGCCCUGCUUUUGUGGGGUGCUCGAGUGGCGAACGGGUGAGUAACACGUGAGUAACCUGCCCUUGACUUUGGGAUAACUUCAGGAAACUGGGGCUAAUACCGGAUAGGAGCUCCUGCUGCAUGGUGGGGGUUGGAAAGUUUCGGCGGUUGGGGAUGGACUCGCGGCUUAUCAGCGUGUUGGUGGGGUAGUGGCUUACCGAGGCUUUGACGGGUAGCCGGCCUGAGGGGGUGACCGGCCACAUUGGGACUGAGAUACGGCCCAGACUCCUACGGGAGGCAGCAGUGGGGAAUAUUGCACAAUGGGCGGAAGCCUGAUGCAGCAACGCCGCGUGCGGGAUGACGGCCUUCGGGUUGUAAACCGCUUUCGCCUGUGACGAAGCGUGAGUGACGGUAAUGGGUAAAGAAGCACCGGCUAACUACGU